rnacentral:sRNA from 1 species
UUUGGGCAGAAAGCUUUACGAUUAGAAGAAAAACUCACAUGAGUUCCUGAGCAGGCUUUGAAACAAAGACUCCGGCAGGCAGAAUGUGUUGGCAGUGGCUAUUAAUUUGAAAGAAACACUAAAGGAAGUUCUGUAGGCAGGAGGCAAAUAACACAAGAUGGAAACAUGGUAAUACAGAAGGAAUGUAAAGGAGGAAAAGGUAAACACUGGGUAGAGCAUAAUAAAUACUGGCAGCCUAAAACAACAACGGUAAUGUUUUGCGGGAUGAAAAGUAUGUGGACAUAAAGCACAGGACAACAAUAACAAGGGGCAGAGCAGAGUAAGUGGCACCGCCAUCUGUCCAGGCUGCGGUGGAAAAUGGCUGGCUUUUAGACAACUGCAGUUUGUUUUCACAGUUCUGGAAGCUGGGAGUCCAAGCUUAAGGCAGAUGCAAAGAUCCAUCCUCUCACCAAUCAAUGAAUAAAAAGUUAAUUCCAGGGCUGUGACAAAAAAGAGAGUGAUGGAAUGAGAGGGUGUGUCUGCUUCACGUGACUAACAAUACCUGAGGCAAUGAAACUUAUCCAAUGGAAAGAAAGAAAGGGUCUCAUGAAUUCCAGGCUUGCCGCAAACUCCCUAAGCUAUGCUACAACGUAGUCAAGGAUGCGGUGAACUUCUGAUUCUCCUGCCUUCAUCUUCCAAAUGCUGGCCUUCCCAGCAGGCACCACCACAGGCAGCCAUGUGGCAUCGGUCGCUGGCUUCCUGCAAGUUAAUCCAACCACUGUACUAACUGAAGUGCAUAUCCAGACCAAACAUUUUUUCCUGUCUAAAUUCUCCCCUCAAACUGAAACUGGAAGGGGUGAAAUCAUCUCUCCAAGGGCCACGGGUUGCUGAGAUUUUCAACUUCAAAGUCUGUUUACCUAAUUUGUAUUCACCAACUGAACUGACAAACUGCGUACCUACCAUGUGCUGGCAAAGAACAGAGACCACUGAAAAAUAGCAGCCCGCUCACCCUGCUUCACACUCGAUGCGAAAUGCAAACUGAAAUUUGACUUUUAUAGGAGACAUUUGUAAAUCUGCUGAAGUCAAGGUUAUAUGCUGGACUUUUGUGUUGCUCUGGCUCAAAAGAUCACUGAUGAUAGAUACAUUUGUCUCGUUUUGU